rnacentral:rRNA from 1 species
UACGAAGGGGGCUAGCGUUGUUCGGAAUUACUGGGCGUAAAGCGCACGUAGGCGGACUACUAAGUCAGGGGUGAAAUCCCGGGGCUCAACCCCGGAACUGCCUUUGAUACUGAUAGUCUCGAGUCCGGAAGAGGUGAGUGGAAUUCCGAGUGUAGAGGUGAAAUGCGUAGAUAUCUGGAGGAACACCGGUGGCGAAGGCGGCAUCCUGGACCAACACUGACGCUGAGGAGCGAAAGCCAGGGGAGCAAACGGG